CCAACAGGGAUUGCCCCAGUAACGGCGAGUGAAGCGGCAACAGCUCAAAUUUGAAAUCUGGUCUCGGCCCGAGUUGUAAUUUGUAGAGGAUGCUUUGGGCGCGGCGCCUUCUGAGUUCCCUGGAACGGGACGCCACAGAGGGUGAGAGCCCCGUAUAGUUGGACGCCUAGCCUGUGUAAAGCUCCUUCGACGAGUCGAGUAGUUUGGGAAUGCUGCUCAAAAUGGGAGGUAAAUUUCUUCUAAAGCUAAAUACCGGCCAGAGACCGAUAGCGCACAAGUAGAGUGAUCGAAAGAUGAAAAGCACUUUGAAAAGAGGGUUAAAUAGCACGUGAAAUUGUUGAAAGGGAAGCGCUUGUGACCAGACUUGCGCCGGGCCGAUCAUCCGGGGUUCUCCCCGGUGCACUCGGCCCGGCUCGGGCCAGCAUCGGUUCUCGCGGGGGGACAAAGGCCUCGGGAAUGUAGCUCCUCCGGGAGUGUUAUAGCCCGGGGCGUAAUGCCCUCGCGGGGACCGAGGUACGCGCAUCUGCAAGGAUGCUGGCGUAAUGGUCACCAGCGACCCGUCUUGAAACACGGACCAAGGAGUCAAGGUUUUGCGCGAGUGUUUGGGUGUAAAACCCGCACGCGUAAUGAAAGUGAACGUAGGUGAGAGCUUCGGCGCAUCAUCGACCGAUCCUGAUGUAUUCGGAUGGAUUUGAGUAGGAGCGUUAAGCCUUGGACCCGAAAGAUGGUGAACUAUGCUUGGAUAGGGUGAAGCCAGAGGAAACUCUGGUGGAGGCUCGCAGCGGUUCUGACGUGCAAAUCGAUCGUCAAAUCUGAGCAUGGGGGCGAAAGA
rnacentral:rRNA from 1 species